GGGGAAGCGGCAACGAUUGGCGGUGUUGCAGCUGACUGUAAAUCAGUUCCCUUGCGGUAAACAUUGGAGGUUCAAUUCCUCCCUUCCUCA
rnacentral:tRNA from 1 species